CUCCCAGUCUGGAGGUGAGAUCACUUUUCUGUCAAAAAUGUCUGUUGCCUGAAGGAGACUCAGGUCUCAUCAUAUGAGAGCAAAGAUCAGAUAGCAACUCUGCUUUUGUGGAGUGGAGAAACAGGGCUUUCAGAUUGUGUAUUGAUGAGUAUUGCAUGCUGUAGCUUGGGGAAUUUGGUGGGAAGGCCUGCAACUAACUAUAAGAUGAGGAUGAGAAGAGUGAAAUGGAGAGUGAGGUGAAGUUUGAGAACUCUUCUGCAAACUUAUGAAAGAAAUCUUAGAUAAGAAGUUGAAUAUAUUAGUUAUGAAGGUUGUGACAAUCCUCCAGUAGGCUGUCUUCAACCUGCUGCAUUGUGACUAGCACUCAGGGCUGAACAGCGAACUCAGCAGAUCAUAACAGUCCAGGCCCUUCAAGACAACUCUACAAUGGGCAACAUGAUGGCCAGAAAGUACUUGGAGAUAGAUCCUAACCAACUCAUUGUGGGGCAUUAUAAAUAUGUUUAAACUGAAUUAAAGGAGAACUAACUGAAUAUCUGCUAUAGAGGUAUUAGAUAUAAC
rnacentral:lncRNA from 1 species